UUAACAUGAGGAUGUCUGGGAGGACUGAUUCCUAAGAGAUCCAGUGGCUCUGAUUAGGUUUUUUCUUCAGAGGAACAUAAUUAGGGUCUAAUCUCACCCAACAGGUCAGCCCCUCCUGCGCCUUGAGCCCCUGCCACACAGAUUCAGGUAGCCACGACAUGAGUGGACCAAACUAGUUCAGGGAGUAAUUGCCCUGGAAAGCUAGGUCCACAAGCAGAACCCAUUGGGUCUGACACACUCCUUGAAUUGGUUAAAUUCAAAGGAAAACUCUGAAUUCUGGGGAACAAGGCCUCUAAGUUGGCUUAAGCCUCUGCAGCUGCAGAACAUGAAGUUCUACCCUUAGAAACUCCCGCUGGGUAUAUGCAAAAUACUUAUGGUAAAUCAUUCAAAUAUUUAGUCAAGUGGAUGUUGAGUUCUAAUUAGGGAUAAGAAGUCAGGCUGGUGGGAGCAGGAGAAAGCAAGAACAAAAACCAAAUAAGCCAUAAAUCUGCCUUUUUUUCGUGGUCCAGGACACACAGCCCUACUGCGCAAAUAAGUCACAAUCUUCCUGCACCCAGCUGUCACCAGACAUCUUAACUAAUCAAAAAGAACACGUAAGUUAGCUCACUGCAACCUUGCUGUUAUCAGUAUUGCACACAGCCCUCUUCAGCACACAGCACAAAGACCAUCCUAUAAAAUCCUCAGGAUGCCUUUGUCUCCUUGCAGUUAGCUCCUCUUUUGCUGACUUGCCUGUUGCUUUUUUGAAACACAUUUCCCUACUUUGUCUAAUAAAUCUGCCUUUUAAAAAUCUGCAACCAUUUUGGUAAGUAUUUUUUACCACCCAUGCAACAUCAGCCCCAGAUAGUCAAUACCUGUGACAGUGGCCCAUUAUAACCACAGAGGUUCUAACUUAACAGUGGCCUAGAUGGGGAUCAUCUGAGAUGCCCAAAUUAGUGUACCUGGGAACUAGGAUGGAAAAUGCAUGCACAAAAACUCAACAGCCAGAAUGGGAGAGCUACUUUCAGUGGUACCUAGAGAGGUAGCAAAAAGGGGGAAGACUGCCUCACCUCCUUACAGGAGGCCAACAAACAACUUAGAGAUACUAACUGAUAACUCUCUAGUGCUUUAUCUCUCUUAAAGAAAUCUUCAGAAUUGCUUACAUCCCCCUUGGUUCUUCCCCCACCUCCAGGUACAUCCCCAGCUUACUCCGACCUCUCUGAACUUCCUGGACCAGAUCUGUUUCCUCUGCCUGCAUGCUCUAGCCUACCAUCUUCCUCUCCUUGUCUGCUACUCACUCAACAGAAGGCAACAGGGUGGUCUACUUCUACAACUCCGUCUCCUGAUGAUUUCACAACAGUCUCCCUGGCAGCCUUUCAUCUGGAAGAAGUGGAAAAGGGGGAACCUGUAGGAACAUCUCUCAUGAUCACACCAUAUAGGGAAUGACCAGUAACAGGUAGGGAAACCCCAGUGAUGGUCUUUCAAACCUGGUCAAAGGCUGAGCUAGGAGGCAAAGUUAAAAAAUUUCCUGACUCCCAUAAAGAUUUGCCCAAGAAUUUGAGCUCAUUGUCAGGUCACUCGUCAUAUGGCCCGUGUCAUUCAGACCCUUACCAGCUGUUCCACAUGUUGGUUUUGGAUGCUAAAGCUAAGGAAUGGCUGGAAAAAGCACAGUGGUCAGACCAUUUAGCAGAGUCAAUUUCCAAAGGUCCAAUAGGAUGACAACAAGUCCCCAAAAGUUCAGAAGACAGGCUCAAAGAUGCCAAGGCAUGAGCCACUGCUCUGUUAAUUAUAAUUCCUUCAGCAUUCCAAAGGUUUGUGGAUUGGAAUAAAAUCCAGCAAUGCCACCAGAACCCAAAGGAAUUAGUUUGAGAUUAUUUUUCAUGUUUUGAUAAAACUUUGAGACAAUAUUAUGGGAUGUCAGCUGAUUGCCUUGAGAACAAUAAAAAUGGCGCUUAUUAAAUGCAAACUUUCAAAACAGACCAGAUGAUGAUUUAGCCACUCUUGUAAAACACCACAUAACAAAUUGGGCCAUGGUCAGAACUAAGGAACUAGUUAACUUAGCUGACCAAUUAUCCUGUGCUAUGAUAAAGGAAAAAAAAAACAAAAGACUGCCAGAGUUAUGCAUUUAUAGUUAAAGCAAUUAACUUCUCAAACCUGUUAGCCUCAGAAUAAUGAAAAGCCCUCUCGGUCUGAGGACUCUUCCCUCAGCCUGUUACUAUUGUAAAAGACCAAGACACCUUAAACAGGACUGCUUUAGGUGGAAGUGGAAGCCACAGCAGGAGGAUACAACUCAGGAAGACUAGGGGUGCUCUGAGGAAGUUAAAGGGUUUCACCUCUCCCAGUAUUCUACCUUGACAAAUUGGGAAAGAUUAAUAUAAUCAUAACGUGAGCUCUCCAUUGCCUUACUUGACAUAGGAGCAACUAUAUCUGUCAUAAAUCCCACCUGCUUUAGAAACCAUGUUCCUCAGAGUAAUAAAAGGACUAGCAUGAUGGGUGUGUCUAAGAAAACUAUCUCAUGCUUUAAAUCCAAACCUAUACCUUACCGUUUUGUCAGGUUUAGCACCCCCUCAAUCAAGGGCCCUAAAUACAACAGUCAGUCAGUCCCAUGUGUUCCUAAUAUGCUGGGUAAGUGUCUGUUUUGUGGACCAGCCUUCUCUUUGUUCAGUUUCCAGAGUCAAGACUAGGAGAAAAUACUAGAAAAGUCUUUUUUGGUCAAGGCAUCAAGUCACAUUCCCUACUCAUCGUCUAAAGGUGAGCCUGCCGCAUUAUCACGGAUGCUGUGAUGGGCAGGUGUGUUCGUAGUCCUCUGAAAAUAGUGGAUUUCUUACGUGUGAGGUUCCUUGGCUGUGACCAACACAUGGCAGGUGCACCUUCCAUCUGGCUGCUCUGUUUUGUGCAGUGAGACUUGGAAGGAGUGUGGGGGACCAAGGAGAAUGAACAUGCACAUGAAGCCCAUCCUGGCUGCUGUGCCACGAGAAAGCUGACCUCAGGUGAUCCACCUGCCUUGGCCUCCCGAAGUGUUGGGAUUACAGGUGUGAGCCACGAUGCCAGGCCUGUAGAGCUCCUCUUUAGAAACUGUGUGCAGAGGGCAGGGCACAGUGGCUCAUGCCUGUUAUCCCAGCACUUUGCAAGGCUGAGAUGAGAGGACUGCUUGAGGCCAGCCUGGGCAACAUAGAGAGACCUUAAAAAUACAAAAAAUUAGCCAGGCGUGGUGGCGGGUGCCUGUAGUCCCAGCUACUCUGGAGGCUGAGGCAGGAGAAUGGUGUGAACCCGGGAGGCAGAGCUUGUGAGUAGCUGGGAUUACAGGCAUGUGCCACCACACCUGGCUAAUUUUUGUAUUUUUAGUCGAGAUGGGGUUUUACCAUGUUGGCCAGACUGGUCUCGAACUCCUGACCUCAGGUGAUCUGCCAACCUCAGCCUCCCAAAGUGCUGGGAUUACAGGCAUGAGCCACCACGCCUGGCUCUCUUUUUUUGAGACAAGGUUUCACUUUGUUGCCAAGGCUGGAGUGCAAUGGAGCAAUCUCGGCUCACUGUAACCUCUGCCUCCUGGGUUCAAGUGAUUCUCCUGCCUUAGCCUCCUGAGUAGCUGAGACGAGAGGUGCACACCACCAAGCUCGGCUAAUUUUGUAUUUUUAGUAGAGACA
rnacentral:lncRNA from 1 species